GCCAAGGUUGUUAAAAAGUUAUGUACGCAUAAAUCAUGUUUUUAUUUUGAAAACAUAGCCGUUCCUUGGCAUUGGCUGAGUUCACCCUCACGUGGUAGUUUGGCGUGAAGUGAACUCUAAAGUGUUAACCUCAGGAGUUAUCCAUCUGCGCCUCUCAUACUGAGGUAUGAAUAUAAUAGGGUUACCGUGCCCCCUCUAAUAGGCUGGUCCACGAAAUUCGUCCACUGCAG
rnacentral:lncRNA from 1 species